rnacentral:rRNA from 1 species
AUUGAACGCUAGCGGCAGGCCUAAUACAUGCAAGUCGGACGGGAUUGGAGAGCUUGCUUUCCAUGAGAGUGGCGCACGGGUGCGUAACACGUAUGUAACCUACCUUUAUCAGGGGGAUAGCCUCUCGAAAGAGAGAUUAACACCGCAUAAAAUCACAGAACGGCAUCGUUUAAUGAUCAAAUAUUUAUAGGAUAAAGAUGGCCAUGCGGGACAUUAGCUAGAUGGUGAGGUAACGGCUCACCAUGGCCAUGAUGUCUAGGGGAUCUGAGAGGAUGGCCCCCCACACGGGUACUGAGACACGGACCAGACUCCUACGGGAGGCAGCAGUAAGGAAUAUUGGUCAAUGGACGGAAGUCUGAACCAGCCAUGCCGCGUGCAGGAAAACGGCCCUACGGGUUGUAAACUGCUUUUGUACGGGAAUAAACCCAGAUACGAGUAUCUGGCUGAAUGUACUGUAAGAAUAAGGAUCGGCUGACUCCGUGCCAGCAGCCGCGGUAA